GCCUGGAAGGCCAGUCGGAGCCAAGGUAGAUGGUUAAGCAAGAUAAUGCAAGACGACAGCAGCGGGGGUUGCGGCUGUGACGGACGCUGGCCCUCCAGGAGCCGUGGAGGGUUGGAGGGCUGAGUUCUAGAGAGGAAGGUUAUUAAAGCUGUAUCCAAGCCGAGGCUUGGAGAUGUAACGUAAUCUGUCCAAGGACCAGUGGCUAGCUUGUGGCAGAGCAAAGAUUAGAAACCAGGACGGUCUGAGCUCAAUAAAGGAGCCACCGGCCCUGGUCCACACUGUGCAACAGGGUGAUGGCCAGUAAAGCGUGACUGGAGAACUCCGCAGAAAACACCAAGAACGCUCCAUGAAUACUCUCUCUACUACAAAAUAGCCUAUCGCAGCAUCAAUCUUCCCAUCUCUCCCUCUGGUUCUAAAAAGGAUGGCGUCUCCUCGCCUCUGCAGACCUGGUCCCUUCCAUCUCUAUCAUGCCCUCCUUGCAGGUGGCAACUCUCCAGCUGCUGGAGAGCAGGUUGAGCCCCUGAAGACUCCUCCUCUGCGUGUUUCUGGGGCUCUAGCACACUGAAUGGGCCCCCUCUAAAAGGCCGACAGAAUUCAUCUCAUUUCUAUAUUCAUUUUACAAAAGGGAACUGAAACCAACAUAUCUUAAGACCUAAAAUUGAGAGGAAACGUGGUUCAGAGCCAACCUGUAGGGUGCCGUUGCCAGGGGGCGAAUCUCAUUGUUUUGUGCACCGCUGCUUCCCUACCACCUAGGACCGUGUCUAGUACAUAGUUGGAGCUCAAUAAGUAU